CACUGGAUUCGUUGUCCUGGCGUAGAACGUCUUUACCUACUGAAGAGACCGUCAAAGGGUCAAAGCGUCGAUUACCGCCUACGAGAAUUCAUCCAAAAUGAGAUAUUCAGUAAGGUCAAAGAACAUCAGCCGAACGUGAUGGAGAAAAUCACGGCCGUGAGGGGCGACGUGACAUUACCGGAACUGGGUUUGUCGCCAUCCGAUUUUCAGCUGUUGAUUGAAAAUGUGUCUGUCAUCUUCCAUUCUGCCGCCACAAUCAGAUUCAACGAGGAACUGAAAACGGCUCUCGUUAUGAACGUGAAAGGGCCGAUGGAAUUACUUGAAAUUUUAUCGCAAAAUGAAACAUCUUGAGACAUUUGUGCACGUGUCGACUGCCUUCAACAAUCUUGACCGGGAGAAAAUUAAGGAAGAGGUUUACUACAAUCCCAAAGUGAAUCCA